GGAGAUUUAGCUCAGCGGUAGAGCGCUUGCUUAGUGAGCACAAGGCCCUGGGUUUGGUCCCCAGCUCCG
rnacentral:tRNA from 1 species